AGAAGAUCCUUCUCCUUCCCUUUUUUCGGAAGAAAAGGAGGAUCCGGACAAAAUCGAUGAAACGGAAGAGAUCCGAGUGAACGGAAAAGAAAAAACAAAGGAUGAAUUCCACUUUCACUUUAAAGAGAUAUGCUAUCAAAAUAGCCCAGUUUAUGAAACUUCUUAUCUGUAUGGGACUCAAGAAACUUCGAAGUUACAAAUACUUAAAAAAAAAGAAAAGAAAUUAGUAAAUACAAAAUCUCUUACAAAAUCUCUUGUGGUUCUUCUUUUCGACUAUAAACGAUGGAGACGUCCGUUGCGAUAUUUAAAAAACAAUAAAUUUGAAAAUAGUAUAAUAAAUGAUAUGUCACAAUAUUUUUUUUUUUCGUGUCAAGAUAGUGAAAAAAACAGAAUUUCUUUUACCUACCUGCCUAGUUUAAAAACUUUUUUUGAAAUGCUAGAAAGAAAGAUGCAUUUUUUCAGAUCGGUAGAAGCGGUAGAUUCAAUCUCUAAUGAACUAGAAAAUUCUACGAGUUAUAUUAGACGACCCUGGAAUGCGUUCAAGAAAAGCAAGAUUUGGGGUGGUUUUUACUAUAAAUGAGCCUACUUAUACUAAUUACGAAGCAGAACCAGAGGAAUUUUAUUUGAUGCAGUAUGCCCAACAACCCGAUUUUCGUCGAAAUAUAAUUAUGGGCUCUAUACGAGCUCAAAGGCGUAAAAUACCUAUUUUAAAACUGUCUCAAGCAAAUGUACAUUCCCCACUUUUUUUGUACAAACUCGACAAACCGAUCCUUUCUUAUUUUGAUAUUUCUGGACUGAUUAAACGCAUUUUCCGAAAUUGGAUGACAAAAACUAAAGAAUCUGAACUUUCAGAAAAAACGGAUAAAAAUGAAAAGUAUAAAAGAGAAGCAACAAUAGGGAUCGAAAUAGCGGAAGAACCUCCGAACGGUAUUCUAACUCCUCAAUUAACAAGGAGUUGUAUAUUAAUAAUAAAAUCAAUUCUUAGGAAAUAUAUUAUAUUACCCUCAUUGAUAAUAGCUAAAAAUAUUGGACGUAUCUUAUUAUUUCAAUUUCCCGAAUGGUCCGAGGAUUUCGAAAAUUGGAAUAAGGAAACGCAUGUUAAAUGCACUUAUAGUGGUGUUGAACUAUCCGAAAAAGACUUGCCGAAAAACUGGUUAAGUGAAGGUAUUCAGAUAAAGAUCUUAUUUCCUUUCUAUCUGAAACCUUGGCAUAGAUCGAAACCUGAAUUCCCUCAAAUGGGUCGAUUGAAAAAAAAAAAGUGUUUUUUAACUGUGUGGGGGAGGACAACCAAACAGCCGUUUGGUUCACCUCAAAAGGAGCCUUCCUUUUUUGUACCCAUUUUUAAAGAACUCAUAAAAAAAAUGAUAAAAUUGAAAACAAUUUUUUUUUUUAUUUUCAAAAUGUUCAAAGAAAUAAAAAACUGGAUUAACAUUCGACUAUAAAAAAGUCGUUUUCUAAUAUUUCUUGUGACUUAUCUUCUUUGUCUCAAGCCUAUGUUUUUUACAAAUUAUCACAAAAUCAAUUACUUAACAAGUAUCAUUUGAGAUCUGUACUUCAAUAUCAGGGUACAUUUCUUACUUCUGGAAGAAAUGAAUGGAAAAGCUGGUUACAGAAUCAUUAUCAAUAUAAUAUAUCUCAUAUUAGAUGGUCUGGAUUGCUACCAAAAAAAUGGAAAAAAAAACAAAACAGCCGCUCUAUAAAACAAAAUGAAAAUAAGGAUUCAUCAAAAUUGGAUUUAUAUGAAAACGAUGGGUUAAUUCGUUACGAAAAGGCAAUUAAUGAUUAUGGAUUACACUCAUUAUCAAAUCACAAAGGAAAUUUAAAAAAAAAUUGUCGAUAUGAUCUCUUAUCAUAUAAAUCGAUUAAUUAUGAAAAUAAGAAGAACUCAUAUAUUUUUCUUUUACCAUCACAAGGAAACAAUAACCAAAAAAUAUCCUAUAAUUACAACACAAAUAAACGAAAACUUUUUACGCGAGGCGAUAACAAUUCUUUAGGCGAAAAAGCUAUUACGGAUAUGAAUAAAUCUUUUUUUUAUUACAGAAUUAUCCAUUUGUAUCUUAGAAAAAGAGUCAAUAUUGAAGCCUGGAUUUAGGGUGAUAUUUUAUCUUAGAAAAAGAGUCAAUAUUGAAGCCUGGAUCCAGACGAAUACCAAGAAUACUAAGAUAAGUAAUUAUCAACUAAUUGAACAAAUCGAUAAGAAGGUUUUUUUUGAUUUGACGACUCACCAAACUGAGCAAACCAAUCCAAGGAUUCAAAGCUUUUUCGAUUGGCUGGGAAUGAACGAAGAAUUUCCAAUUUUGAAUGAAGAACUUUGGUUCUUACCAGAAUUGAUACUCCUUUAUAAUGUAUAUAAACUAAAACUAUGGAUCAUACCAAUCAAAUCACUUCUUUUAAAUUUUAAUGAAAAGAAAAGUUUGAGUGAAAAAAAAAAUAUCACCCUAAAGCAAAAAUGGACUCUUGGAUCCCUUCUCUUAAACCAAGAAAAAUAUGUUUCAGACUACGGUGAUUUUUUAGACUAUAGGGUGGAAUCGGACAUAAAAAAACGUAUUAAUCAAGAAAUGGACUCUUGGAUCCCUUCUCUUAAACCAAGAAAAAUAUGUUUCAGACUACGGUGAUUUUUUAGACUAUAGGGUGGAAUCGGACAUAAAAAAACGUAUAAUCGAAAGCAAUACGGAGGAAGACCCCGAUUUUUUACUAACAAGUCAUUUGCUUGUUCAAUUGAGAUGGUCUUUUUUUUUCAAUCUAACACUAAUGAAAAAUAUCAAAGUAUAUUGUCUCCUGCUUAGCUUGCGAAAUCCAAGAGAAAGCGCCCUAUCCGCUAUUCAAAGAGGAACAAUAAAUCUAGAUAUAAUGCCGAGUCAUAAAUAUGUUACAGAAUGGAUGCAAAGGGGAGUAUUUUUUAUUGAACCAGUUCGUAUGGCUAUAAAUAAUCCUGGACAGUUUCUUAUGUAUCAAAGCGUACGGGUUUCAUUAUUGCAGAAGACUAAUUAUCAAACUAAUCCAAGGUAUGGAGAAAAAAUGGAUUUUGCAAAUCCCAUUGUUCAAAAAAAAAAAGGUAUAGAUAUAAAUCUGGGAUUUUUCAACGGAACCAAUGUCAAAAUUUCUGGUCCAUUUUUGAUUGAAAGCAACCGUCUUAAUAGAUUAAAGUUUUUUCUUUGGCCAACUUGUCAAUUAGAAGAUUUAGUUUCUAUGAAUCGUUAUUGGUUUAAUAGCAAUACUGGGAGUUCUUUCAGUAUGUUAAGAAUACAUAUGUAUCCACAAUUCUAAAUGUAUGAAAUACAUGAUAGGAUAUUCUUAUUUCUAUUCUGUAAGAUAUCUCCCAUAAAAAACUAAACAAACGUAGACACGUAUUGUCUUAUAUUCUAUUCUAAUACAUGAAUACAAAUUCUCAUCAAAAGAUUUUUAGUCUUUAAAGUUUCUUUUUUCUCUCUUUUAUGUUCUGCGUUCCACCCUUUUUCUAUCUCCGGAUUAAAGUCCACCAUUAUUAUUACUGAUCCAUAAAACUCAUAUUUUUAAAAAGUUGGAGAGGGUUUGGUUUUAUGCUAAAGAAUUCAGUUUCCUCAGUUAUUUCCCAAAAACAAGAAAAAAAAGAAGAAACCAAGGGAUCCGUUGAAUUUCAAGUAGUUAAUUUCACUCAGCAAAUCCGAAGACUUACUUCACAUUUGGAAUUGCACAGAAAAGAUUAUUUAUCUCAGAGAGGUCUAAAGAAAAUUCUGGGAAAACGUCAACGGCUGCUGUGUUAUUUGUCAAAAAAAAAUGGAAUACGUUAUAAAGAAUUAAUUGAUCGACUAGAUAUUCGGGAACCUAAAAGUCGUUAAUUCCAAUAACUAAAAUUGAAUUUAUUGGUUAUUGGAUUAUGAAUUUUGAUGAAUUUCUUUUUGUUUUCUGCAAUUCCUAGAAAAAUGAAUCAAGGAACAACCUAUGAAUGUACCAAUUAUAAGAAAUGAACUUAUGAUAGUAAAUAUGGGACCUCAUCACCCAUCAAUGCACGGCGUUCUUCGACUCAUCAUUACUCUAGAUGGUGAAGAUGUUGUUGACUGUGAACCAAUAUUGGGGUAUUUACACAGAGGAAUGGAAAAAAUUGCAGAAAAUAGAACAAUUAUCCAAUAUUUACCUUAUGUAACUCGUUGGGAUUAUUUGGCUACUAUGUUCACCGAAGCCAUAACCGUAAAUGCACCGGAACAGUUAGGGAAUAUUCAAGUACCUAAACGAGCCAGUUAUAUUAGAGUAAUUAUGUUAGAAUUAAGUCGUAUAGCUUCUCAUUUACUAUGGCUUGGCCCUUUUAUGGCGGAUAUUGGUGCACAAACUCCCUUCUUCUACAUUUUCCGAGAACGAGAAUUAGUAUAUGAUCUGUUCGAAGCUGCUACUGGUAUGAGAUUGAUGCAUAAUUUUUUUCGUAUCGGAGGAGUUGCCGCUGAUUUACCGUAUGGGUGGAUAGAUAAAUGCAUUGAUUUCUGCGACUAUUUUUUAACCGGAAUUUCGGAAUAUCAAAAACUUAUUACACGCAAUCCUAUUUUUUUAGAACGUGUUGAGGGAGUAGGAAUUUUGAGUGGAGAAGAAGCACUAAAUUGGGGUUUAUCGGGCCCAAUGCUACGAGCGUCCGGAAUAGACUGGGAUCUUCGUAAAGUUGAUCAUUAUGAGUGUUAUGACGAAUUUGAUUGGGAAGUCCAAUGGCAAAAAGAAGGAGAUUCGUUAGCUCGUUAUUUAGUAAGGAUCAGUGAAAUUGAGGAAUCUAUCAAAAUUAUUCAACAAGCUUUAGAAGGAAUUCCGGGAGGACCUUAUGAGAAUUUAGAAAUACGAUGUUUUGAUAAAGUAAGGGAUUCCCAAUGGAAUGAUUUUGAAUAUCGCUUCAUUAGUAAAAAAACCUCUCCCACUUUUGAAUUGUCGAAACAAGAACUUUAUGCGAGAGUCGAAGCCCCAAAAGGCGAAUUGGGAAUUUUUCUGCUAGGAGAUGGGAAAAUUUUUCCUUGGAGAUGGAAAAUUAGACCGCCGGGUUUUAUCAAUUUGCAAAUUCUUCCUCAGCUAGUUAAAAGAAUGAAAUUGGCUGAUAUUAUGACGAUACUAGGUAGUAUAGAUAUCAUUAUGGGAGAAGUUGAUCGUUAAAAUGAUAAUUGAUACAACAGAAGUACAAGAUAUCAAUGCUUUUUUAAAAUGGGAAUCCUUAAAAGAGGUGUAUGAGAUCAUAUUGAUGCUUAUUCCGAUUUUGACUGUUAUAGUGGGAAUCACAAUAGGUGUACUAGUAAUUGUUUGGUUAGAAAGAGAAAUAGCUGCAGGACUACAACAACGUAUUGGACCUGAAUAUGCUGGACCUUUUGGAAUUCUCCAAGCUUUAGCAGAUGGUACAAAACUACUUUUCAAAGAAAACCUUCUUCCAUCUAGAGGCGAUACUUAUUUAUUCAAUAUCGGACCAUCCAUAGCAGUCAUAUCAAUUCUAUUAAGUUAUUUAGUAAUCCCUUUUGGCUAUCAUCUUGUUCUAGCCGAUCUCAAUAUUGGUGUUUUUUUAUGGAUUGCCAUUUCAAGUAUUUCGCCAAUUGGACUUCUUAUGUCAGGAUAUGGAUCAAAUAACAAAUAUUCUUUUUUAGGUGGUUUACGGGCUGCUGCUCAAUCGAUUAGUUAUGAAAUACCAUUAACUCUAUGCGUGUUAUCAAUAUCUCUACGUGCGAUUCGUUGAAACAUUUUCUCUAUUGUCCUUUUUCUUUUCGUUGGAAAGAAAUUGUCUGAAUUAAAGAAAUCACUUCAUUUUUUUGUUCAUUAACCUAACUGAUGAACACAAUCCGAUAGUUCUAUGAGUGAAAGAAAACAGCUUCUAAAUUUGCAGUAAAAAUAGUAAGUCUCAUUUCCUAUGUAUAAGGAUUAAACAGAAGUAAACAUAAGUAAUUCACACUGUUUAUCCCAAGAUCGGUUGAUUGAUCAUCCUGACUUGAAGCGGAUUUAAAAUAACAACCAAACUUUAUGGGUUUUUCACUAUCGUUUGUAUGUAGGUAUUACCAUAAUAGUGAGUUGAUAAAAAAUGAGUGGGUGGUUAGAAAUACCAAAGUACACAAAGGAUUAGUAAUAGAGAUUAUGCAAAUUAUACAAAAACGUAUUUCCGCAUAACAGGAACACUCAUUGGGGCUUUAAGUUGGUAGAAAUGAUCUGGUAGUACUUCCCACGAUUCCGAUUCAGAGUAUGCCCCUAUCCACUGAAAAAAAAACUAUCAGGAACGAAAGAAUCCUUUUUGAAAGGACCCCUUUUUGAGAAAGAAGAAAAAGAAGAACAGGAACGAACAAAAUAGAAAGAAUGCAAUUCCAAUAAAAAAGAGUGACCUUUUUUAUUCUUUCUUUAAUAUAGUUAUAUUCUUAGUGAUGAAGUAAUGGAAUAUGUAAUAUUUUUUUUCGUAAUCGAAAAUCCUGGGUUGGAAUAUUUAUAUAUAGUAUUAAAAGGAGUAUUUUAUGAACGGCUUAAGUUAUUACUCAAAUAAUAGUGAAAUUCUUACAAUUAAAGUAAAAGUAAAGGAUGAGAUUAAUUCAGAAAUACUUUUUUUUAUAGCAGACGGAAUUACAUUGGGCUAAUUCAGGGCUUUUUCAUAGAUUUUGACUCUAUCUAACAUACAAGUAUAUCACGUUAAAUAAUACCAACCCGGUCCUAAAAUUUAUUUAGGCUCCUAGAGGAGCCGUAUGAGAUGAAAAUCUCAUGUACGGUUCUGUAAUAGCGAUAGUAACAGUAAUGUUAUCACCGACUAUGAUUAUCUAAUAGUUCAAGUACAGUUGAUAUAGUUGAAGCACAGUCAAAAUAUGGUUUAUGGGGGUGGAAUUUGUGGCGUCAACCAAUAGGGUUUAUCGUUUUUCUAAUUGCUUCUCUAGCCGAAUGUGAGAGGUUACCCUUCGAUUUACCAGAAGCAGAAGAAGAAUUAGUAGCAGGUUAUCAAACCGAAUAUUCAGGUAUCAAAUUUGGUUUAUUUUUUGUUGCAUCCUAUUUAAAUCUAUUAGUUUCUUCAUUUUUUGUAAUAGUUCUUUACUUGGGUGGUUGGAAUCUCUCUAUUCCAUAUAUAUCCAUUCCUGAACUUUUUGAAAAAGCAGGCGGAGUCUUUGGAACAAUCAUUAGUAUUUUUAUUACAUUAGUUAAAACUUAUUUGUUUUUGUUCAUUCCUAUUACAACAAGAUGGACUUUACCUAGGCUGAGAAUGGAUCAAUUAUUAAAUCUUGGAUGGAAAUUUCUUUUACCUAUUUCUCUCGGUAAUUUAUUAUUAACAACUUCUUCCCAACUCCUUUCACUCUAACCAUGCGAGUCUAUACGUAGACUUAUCUGAAACAAGAGAAGGAAACAAUCAUCAAAUUAUUCAUAGCUAUUCGCGAUAUGUUCCCUAUGGUAACUGGGUUCAUCAAUUAUGGUGAACAAACAGUACGAGCUGCAAGGUACAUCGGUCAAGGUUUUAUGAUUACUUUAUCCCACGCAAAUCGUUUACCUGUAACGAUUCAAUAUCCUUAUGAGAAAUUAAUUCCAUCAGAGCGUUUCCGCGGUCGAAUUCACUUUGAAUUUGAUAAAUGCAUUGCUUGUGAAGUAUGUGUUCGCGUAUGCCCGAUAAAUUUACCUGUUGUUGAUUGGAAACUACAAACUAGGAUCCGAAAGAAACAAUUGCUUAAUUACAGUAUUGAUUUUGGAAUCUGUAUAUUUUGUGGUAAUUGCGUUGAGUAUUGCCCCACAAAUUGUUUAUCAAUGACUGAAGAAUAUGAGCUUUCUACGUAUGAUCGUCACGAAUUGAAUUAUAAUCAAAUUGCUUUGGGUCGUUUACCAUUGGCAUUAAUUGACGAUUACACAAUUCGAACAAUUUCGAAUGCGCCUCAAAUAAAAAAUGGCUAAACGCCUUUUAGAAAAAAAUGAUAAUUACUAAUGUAGUCUUUUGAUAUAAAGGAAUUUUUUUUUGAACUGCCGAAUUGAACCUCAAAAAAGAAUGAUAUUGGUCCAAUUAUUAAACCUAUAUCAAUACACAUUUAUUCUUUCUUUUGAUAUAAAGGAAUUUUUUUUUGAACUGCCGAAUUGAACCUCAAAAAAGAAUGAUAUUGGUCCAAUUAUUAAACCUAUAUCAAUACACAUUUAUUCUUUCAAUUAAAAAUAUAUUCCGGAUAAUUUUACUUUUCCUGGUCCGAUCAAUAAGGUCAUGAAACAUUUCUAUUUUUUUUUAUUCUUAUUUUAUAUUAUAUAUAAUGGAUUUACCGGGACCAAUACACGAUUUUCUUUUAAUCUUUCUGGGAUCAGGUCUUAUAUUAGGAGGUCUAGGAGUAGUAUUAUUUACUAAUCCAAUUUAUUCCGCCUUUUCAUUGGGAUUCGUUCUUGUUUGUAUAUCCUUGUUCUAUAUUUCAUCAAAUUCCCAUUUUGUAGCUGCUGCCCAACUUCUUAUUUAUGUGGGAGCUAUAAAUGUUUUAAUCAUAUUUGCUGUGAUGUUUAUUAAUGGUUCAGAAUAUUACAAAGAUUUCGAGUUUUGGACUGUUGGAGAUGGGGUUACUUCAGUGGUUUGUACAAGUAUUUUUGUUUCACUAAUUACUACUAUUCCAGAUACCUCAUGGUACGGGAUUAUUUGGACUACAAGAUCAAACCAUAUUGUAGAACAGGAUUUGAUAAGUAAUAGUCAACAAAUUGGGAUUCAUUUAUCAACAGAUUUUUUUCUUCCGUUUGAGCUCAUUUCAAUAAUUCUUUUAUUUGCUUUGAUAGGUGCAAUUGCGGUAGCUCGUCAGUAAUAAAGCUUUCAAACGUUCAUAGAUAAGAUAAGAAAUGUUUUUUUAAUUCAAUCUAGUACCUAGUCUCAAUAUUAGAAAUCUAUUUCUUUGUCCCUGUUCCGUAUUUUUUUUUUUUCGAUUCUAGUCAAUAGAAUAAGUUGAGUUGUUGUUCAUAUUGAAAUGAAUCAAGAUUGAUAAGGAGUCGGUCAAUGAUGCUCGAAUAUGUACUUAUUUUGAGUGCCUAUUUAUUUUCUAUCGGUAUCUAUGGAUUGAUCACGAGCCGAAAUAUGGUUAGAGCCCUUAUGUGUCUUGAACUUAUCCUAAAUGCAGUUAAUAUAAACUUCGUAACAUUUUCUGAUUUUUUUGAUAGCCGCCAAUUAGUAGGAGAUAUUUUCUCAAUUUUUGUAAUAGCUAUUGCAGCCGCUGAAGCAGCUAUUGGACCAGCAAUUAUUUCCUCAAUUUAUCGUAAUAGAAAAUCAACUCGCACCAAUCAAUCAAAUUUCUUGAAUAAAUAAUAUGAAUAUGCAUUCAAAAAUUUGAAUCUUUAUCGACGCAAAUAAAAAAUUGUUAUUCAGUAAGUCCAAUUAGUAUGUAUGAUAUUAAAUAUAGGGUCAUAUUCCUAUUUACGAAGAUGGACUAAAUAAAAGUAUCUUUACUCGUUUGUAUAAGCUGAUCCAUAAAUCAAAAUAAAUUUUGUAUAAAAAUUUUGGUAAAUCAUUGAUUCAUCUGAUAUCUCAAUACAUGAUUCAUGUACAAGUUUAUUAGAUUGAAAAUUUAUGACGUUCAAAAAUUUAGAGAUUCAAUGUCACAUUCAGUAAAAAUUUACGAUACAUGUAUAGGAUGUACUCAAUGUGUUCGAGCCUGCCCCACAGAUGUAUUAGAAAUGAUACCGUGGGACGGGUGUAAAGCGAAACAAAUAGCAUCCGCCCCAAGAACAGAAGACUGUGUUGGUUGUAAACGAUGUGAAUCCGCCUGUCCAACGGAUUUCUUGAGUGUUCGGGUUUAUUUAUGGCAUGAAACAACUCGUAGCAUGGGCCUAGCUUAUUGAUACGUUCAAAAAAAAAUAGCACUAAUCCAUUUUUUACCGACAAAAACCCGUGCUCAAAAUAAUAUAUAGUUUCCAUUUCUUUUUUUUAGUACGGGUUUUUUAUGGUCUAAGUGUAUCUUAUCUUUACCAUGAACUUUUUUCCUUGGUUAACUUUAAUUGUAACUUUUCCGAUAUCUGCAGGUUCUUUUAUUUUCUUUCUCCCUCAGAAAGGAAAUAAAAUAAUUAGGUGGUACACUAUAUGUAUAUGUAUUUUAGAACUCCUUCUAAUGACCUAUGCAUUCCGUUAUCAUUUCCGAUUUGACGAUCCUUUAAUACAACUGGCCGAGGAGUAUAAAUGGAUACGUUUUUUUUCUUUUUACUGGAGAUUAGGAAUAGAUGGACUUUCUAUAGGACCCAUUUUAUUAACGGGAUUUAUUACUACUUUAGCUACUUUGGCAGCUUGGCCCGUUACUCGAGAUUCACGAUUUUUCCAUUUCUUGAUGUUAGCAAUGUAUAGUGGCCAAAUAGGAUUAUUUUCUUCCCGGGACCUUUUACUUUUUUUCAUCAUGUGGGAGUUAGAAUUAAUUCCUGUUUAUUUACUUGUAUCCUUAUGGGGAGGAAAGAAACGUCUAUACUCAGCUACCAAGUUUAUUUUGUACACUGCAGGAGGUUCCAUAUUUCUGUUAAUGGGAGUUCUGGGUAUCGGUUUAUAUGGUUCCAAUGAACCAACAUUCAAUUUUGAAAUAUUAUCUAAUCAAUCCUAUCCUGUGGCAUUGGAAAUAAUAUUCUAUAUUUUAUUUCUUAUUGCUUUUGCUGUCAAAUUACCGAUUCUACCCCUACAUACUUGGUUACCAGAUACCCACGGGGAAGCACAUUAUAGUACUUGUAUGCUUCUAGCUGGAAUUUUAUUAAAAAUGGGAGCAUAUGGGUUGGUUCGGAUCAAUAUGGAAUUAUUACCCCGCGCUCAUUCGCUAUUUUCUCCAUGGUUGAUAAUAGUUGGUACGAUCCAAAUAAUCUAUGCAGCUUUAACAUCUCUUGGCCAACGUAAUUUAAAAAAACGAAUAGCCUAUUCUUCUGUAUCUCAUAUGGGUUUCAUAAUUAUAGGAAUUGGCUCUAUUACUGAUACGGGCCUCAACGGAGCUCUUUUACAAAUAAUCUCUCAUGGCUUUAUUGGUGCUGGGCUUUUUUUCUUGGCAGGAACGGGUUAUGAUCGAAUCCGUCUUGUUUAUCUCGAUGAAAUGGGUGGGAUAGCUAUUUUAAUGCCCAAAAUAUUCACGAUGUUGAGUAUAUUAUCGAUGGCUUCUCUUGCAUUACCGGGUAUGAGUGGUUUUGUUGCGGAAUUGAUAGUCUUUUUUGGACUAAUUACUAGUCAAAAAUAUCUUUUAAUGACAAAAAUACUAAUUACUUGUGUAAUGGCAAUGGGGAUGAUAUUAACUCCUAUUUAUUUAUUAUCUAUGUCACGCCAGAUGUUCUAUGGAUACAAGCUAUUUACUGUUCCAAAUUCCUAUUUUUUUGAUUCGGGACCACGAGAACUAUUUGUUUCGAUCUCCAUCGUUCUACCCAUAAUAGGUAUUGGUCUUUACCCGGAUUUCGUUUUUUCAUUAUCAGUUGAUAAGGUUCAAAGUAUUUUAUGUAAAUAUUUUUAUAGAUAAUUUUUUUAUAGAUAAAUUUUUGACUUAAUUAACUCAUUAAUAGAAAAAGAAUUGUAACUGGAUCUAUUUAGCCUUUGUGAGAGCCAUUUGAAUCAAUACAAUACUUGAUUCAAACGGCUCUUGACGUUCAACUAAGAUUUAUUAGAUUUUUAUUUAUCUAUGCUAUUUUCUAUCGCUAAUCGGUAGGCCUUUUUUAUUCUUUUUUUAUUCAAGUAGAUGUUAAUUGAAAUGAACCAUAACUAUGUAGCCCUAUUCCUAAGAGAUUGACCCCAAAAUAGCAUACCCAAAUUAUAAUAAAGCCCAUAGAAGCUACAAUUGCAGAAUUGGCAACUUUCCUAUUUGUAUUUGUUCGAGUAUGUAAAUAAAUCGCGAAUAUAGUCCAUGUAAUAAAGGCCCAAGUUUCUUUUGGGUCCCAAUUCCAAUAUGAUCCCCAGGCCUCAUUAGCCCAGACUGCUCCGGAAAGAAUCCCUAUAGUUAAAAAGAUAAACCCUAGACUAAUAACACGAUAACUCCAAUGAUCUAAUUGUUGAAUCAAUUGGGAUCGGUAAUAAUUUUUAGCAGAAUCAAAGGAGAUGCUUUGUAAAACAUUCCUUCUUUUAUUCAUGUAUUGGAUCUGACCAAAGUAAAAUAACUCAGUAAAAAAAAAAUGGCUGUUAGCAAAAAUUUCGAUAUCCUUUCUAAAUGUAAUGACUAGAAGAGAUACUGAUAAUAAUGAUCCACAUAAAAGAGCUGCAUAACCUAAUAACAUCAUACUUACAUGCAUCAUUAACCACUGGGAUUGGAGAGCAGGUACUAAUAUUGUGGAUUGAUGCAUUUCAGUUAACAGACUCGAAGUGGCAAAUCCUUGAGUAAAAAUAGCACUUGGUGCAGUUAUUACGCGUAAAUUUGUUUUUUUUAAAUAUGGAAACAUAUGAAUAAUCGAGAAACUCCACGAAAGGAAAAUUAACGAUUCACAUAAAUCACUUAAUGGAAAAUGGUGUGAAUAAAUCCAACGAAUAAUUAAUAAUCCUGUUAGACAGAAAAAAAUAGCUAUUAGACCUCUUUCAGCGGAAUUAGAGAGUCCUAUCAUUUCAUCGACUACGAAGCUUAUCAAAUAAAUUGUAAUUACAAUUGAAACAAGGGAAAAAGAAAUAUGAGUUAAUAUAUGUUCGACAGUAAAAAAUAUCAUAUCCAUUUUUAAAAUAAGAGUAAAAAAUAUCAUAUCCAUUUUUAAAAUAAGGUAUCGGAAUUGAAUUCAUUAUAGGACUUAUUCUAUCUCGUUUAGAAGAGAAUGUGCCGCUACUCGGAUUCGAACCGAGAUGCUCAAGCACUGCUUCCUAAGAGCAGCGUGUCUACCAAUUUCACCAUAGCGGCUUACUUAAAAUGAUAAUAAGCUAUUACUAUUUAAGUGUCGAGAUUUAAUGAGUUAAGUAACUGUUCUGAACUUUUUUUAGUAAAUGGCUAAAUUAAUGAACUUAAUAAACUGAAUAGUCAGGUUUGUUCAGGUCUUUUAUUCUGUCCAGUGUUGUAUUUGUAAAUAAAAAGUGCUACCUCCUAUCUUAGGAAAGCAUAAAAAAAGAUUAUAAUAGAAUAGUCAAAAAGUUCCAUUUACGCUUUACUAGGUAUUGCAUUAGAUAAUAAAAAUUUUGUAGUCCUAUUCUACCCUAAAUUAACAUUUGUCCGAUUCCGAUUAUUUGAAUCUAUUAUUAUUUAGGUGUCGGUACAAAAAAACUUUUUGAAUUACCAGUAGAAAGGGAUUUGCCUAAUGAAAAGGCUUUUAACGCUGCCCAAUAUCCCUUCCUUUUCCACAACCUUUUAUGAAUACGCUUUUUGGCCAGAGAAGUACGUUUUUUUGGAACUGCCAUUCAAAAUUUAAAAGGUUUUUCAAUAAUAUCAUUGGAUGUGAAAGACAUCUAUUGUUCAAAACGAAUUCUUUUUCAUUAUCUAUCUAUCCAUAGAUGAUAUGCUACUAACCUCAGAAAAAAAAAAACAAACAGCUUCCAUUUCGAUCUUAGUUUAUUUUAGUCAUUUAUACCUGGAAUCAAAUUCAUCGACUAAUUACCCAGCUUUGAUCUAAUAACUACUUUAAAAUAUUCAUUUGUAAUUUAAAAAUUUUCAUUUUUCUUUUAUUUAAAAACUAAGUAUAUUCCGUUUUCACAAAUGAGUUCUCCAUGUUAUUUGACCAAUUUACACUUCUUGAUUUGAAUAUUUGAAGUAUUGAAGAAACACUGAGAAUAAUUCAGAAUAAAACUUUUUUAGUUCUUACCUAUCUUGAUUUUUUCUUUUACAAUUCGAUAGGAUCUGGUGAAUUAGAAAUAAUCUUGAAAGAAAAAAAAUUAUGGAACAUACAUAUCAAUAUGCAUGGCUCAUACCUCUCCUUCCACUUCCAGUUCCUAUUGUAAUAGGACUAGGUCUUAUCUUUUUUCCGACGGCAACAAAAAAUCUUCGACGUAUGUGGUCGUUUCAUAGUAUUUUCUUGUUAAGUAUAGUUAUGGUUUUUUCAGCCGACCUAUCUAUUCAACUAAUAAAUAGGAGUUCCAUUUAUCAAUAUAUAUCGUCUUGGACCAUCAAUAAUGAUUUUUCUUUAGAGUUUGGCUAUUUGAUUGAUCCACUUACUUCUAUUAUGUCAAUAUUAAUCACUACUAUCGGAGUUAUGGUUCUUAUUUAUAGUGAUAAUUAUAUGUUUCAUGAUCAAGGAUACUUGAGAUUUUUUGCUUAUAUGAGUUUUUUCAAUGCAUCUAUGUUGGGAUUAGUUACCAGUUCUAAUUUGAUACAAAUUUAUCUUUUUUGGGAAUUAGUUGGAAUGUGCUCUUAUCUAUUAAUAGGUUUUUGGUUCACACGACCCCUUGCCGCAAAUGCUUGCCAAAAAGCAUUUGUGACUAACCGUAUCGGGGAUUUUGGUUUAUUAUUAGGAAUUUUAGGUCUUUAUUGGAUAACAGGUAGCUUUGAAUUUCGAGAUUUGUUCCAAAUAUUCAAUAACUUUAUUUCUACUAAUGAGGUCCAUUUUUUAUUUGGAACUUUAUGCGUCUUCCUAUUAUUUUCUGGUGCAGUUGCUAAAUCUGCUCAAUUUCCCCUUCAUGUAUGGUUACCCGAUGCUAUGGAGGGUCCUACUCCUAUUUCAGCUCUUAUCCAUGCUGCUACUAUGGUGGCAGCGGGAAUUUUUCUUGUAGCUCGGCUUUUUCCCCUUUUUAUAGUUAUACCUUACAUAAUGAAUUUCAUAUCUUUGCUAAGUAUAAUAACAGUACUAUUAGGAGCUACUUUAGCUCUUGCUCAAAACGAUAUUAAAAGAAGUUUAGCCUAUUCUACAAUGUCUCAAUUGGGGUAUAUGAUGUUAGCUUUAGGUAUGGGGUCUUAUCGAACGGCUUUAUUUCAUUUGAUUACUCAUGCUUAUUCUAAAGCAUUAUUGUUUUUAGGAUCUGGAUCAAUUAUUCAUUCAAUGGAGCCUAUUGUUGGAUAUUCUCCAAAUAAAAGUCAAAAUAUGGUUCUUAUGGGUGGUUUACUAAAAUAUGUGCCAAUUACAAAAACUUCUUUUUUUUUAGGGACACUUUCUCUAUGUGGUAUUCCACCUCUUGCUUGUUUUUGGUCUAAAGAUGAAAUUCUUAAUGAUAGUUGGUUGUAUUCACAGAUUGUUGGAAUACUAGCUUGCUUC
rnacentral:rRNA from 1 species